GACGAACGCUGGCGGCGUGCCUAAUACAUGCAAGUAGAACGCACAGUUUAUACCGUAGCUUGCUACACCAUAAACUGUGAGUUGCGAACGGGUGAGUAACGCGUAGGUAACCUGCCUGGUAGCGGGGGAUAACUAUUGGAAACGAUAGCUAAUACCGCAUAAUAUUGAUUAUUGCAUGAUAAUUGAUUGAAAGAUGCUAUUGCAUCACUACCAGAUGGACCUGCGUUGUAUUAGCUAGUAGGUGAGGUAACGGCUCACCUAGGCGACGAUACAUAGCCGACCUGAGAGGGUGAGCGGCCACACUGGGACUGAGACACGGCCCAGACUCCUACGGGAGGCAGCAGUAGGGAAUCUUCGGCAAUGGACGAAAGUCUGACCGAGCAACGCCGCGUGAGUGAAGAAGGGUUUCGGAUCGUAAAGCUCUGUUGUAAGAGAAGAACGGGUGUGAGAGUGGAAAGUUCACACUGUGACGGUAUCUUACCAGAAAGGGACGGCUAACUACGUG
rnacentral:rRNA from 1 species